rnacentral:rRNA from 1 species
UUCUGGCUCAGGAUGAACGCUAGCUACAGGCUUAACACAUGCAAGUCGAGGGGCAGCAUGUGGUGCUGCACCGAUGAUGGCGACCGGCGCACGGGUGAGUAACGCGUAUCCAACCUCCCUAUAGUAGAGGAUAGCCCGGCGAAAGUCGGAUUAAUACUCUAUGUUGUUCAAUGCAGACAUCUAAGUUGAAUCAAAGGUUCACCGCUGUAGGAUGGGGAUGCGUCUGAUUAGGUAGUCGGCGGGGUAACGGCCCACCGAGCCAUCGAUCAGUAGGGUUCUGAGAGGAAGGUCCCCCACAUUGGAACUGAGACACGGUCCAAACUCCUACGGGAGGCAGCAGUGAGGAAUAUUGGUCAAUGGGCGAGAGCCUGAACCAGCCAAGUAGCCGUGCAGGAUGACGGCCCUAUGGGUUGUAAACUGCUUUUAUACAGGGAUAAAGUCGGGGACGUGUCCCCGUUUGUAGGUACUGUGUGAAUAAGGACCGGCUAAUUCCGUGCCAGCCGCUGC